UACGUAGGGUGCGAGCGUUGUCCGGAAUUAUUGGGCGUAAAGAGCUCGUAGGCGGUGUGUCACGUCGGCCGUGAAAACCUGCAGCUUAACUGUGGGCGUGCGGUCGAUACGGGCAACACUGGAGUUCGGCAGGGGAGACUGGAAUUCCUGGUGUAGCGGUGAAAUGCGCAGAUAUCAGGAGGAACACCGGUGGCGAAGGCGGGUCUCUGGGCCGAUACUGACGCUGAGGAGCGAAAGCGUGGGGAGCAAACAGG
rnacentral:rRNA from 1 species